rnacentral:rRNA from 1 species
UACGUAGGGACCAAGCGUUGUUCGGAUUUACUGGGCGUAAAGGGCGCGUAGGCGGCUUAACAAGUCACUUGUGAAAUCUCCGGGCUUAACUCGGAACGGCCAAGUGAAACUGUCAAGCUAGAGUGCAGAAGGGGCAAUCGGAAUUCUUGGUGUAGCGGUGAAAUGCGUAGAUAUCAAGAGGAACACCUGAGGUGAAGACGGUGGCUGGGCUGACACUGACGCUGAGGCGCGAAAGCCAGGGGAGCAAACGGG